AUUUAUAUAGUUUAAUAAAAACCUUACAUUUUCAUUGUAAAAUUAAAACUUGUUUUUAUAAAUA
rnacentral:tRNA from 1 species